rfam:Hordeum vulgare subsp. vulgare, WGS project CAJW01000000 data, contig: morex_contig_48801
CAUGUACUCCCUCCGUCUCAAAAUUCUUGUCUUAGGUUUGAUUAGAAAUGGAUGUAUCUAAAUAUCAAAAUGUGACUAGAUGCAUUCAUAUCUAGACAAAUCUAAGAUAAUAAUUUUGGGACAGAGGGAGUAUGUG